GCAUUUUCCUGGCACAUCUUGCUAUCUUUCUUUGUUUCUAAGUCUAUCCUACAGUGUACAGAUGGCAUCAAUGGGCCCUUCCCCAGAGGAAGGCCUGGUCAGCAUCCACCUACCCACCCUUCACACUGUUCUUUCUCAAUUCCCCUCAGGUUGGGACCCUAUUCCUGGGUGUCCCCUUACUUAACAUGUCCCAGUGGGUGGGACUCACUAUAGGCUUAGGAAAGCUGUUCUAAACUGUUUGUGGCUCCAUCAAUCCUAAGAGAAAAAAGAGCAUGAGGGGAAUGCAAAGAGAAAAGGAGAGACAGGCCCCACAUUGGGGGUGAGUGGGGGUGGUGAGGAGACAGAAGCAAAGGGAGCAGAUUAAUUGAAGGGGGAGGGGGAAACCAAUGACCCUGUGCUUUUCUCUGAAAAGCUUUGGUUUUGGUUUUGGUUUUUCCCAGAGUGCUAGGAUUGCAGGCAUGAGCCAUCACAUCACACUCCUAUUUGAAUGCCACUCCCUUGGUGCCUACCUCUUUAGGGUUCCUCUCAAAGUCCAGAUUUAGCCAACCAUGGCAAACUUAUUCUAGGCAGUUACUCCACCCCCACCCCCAACCCCCUACCCCACAUCCCGAAGCUGUUCUAACCUGGUCUGGGAGAACCCAGUUCCUGGACAAAGCGUCCCCUCCCCCACAGAUGCUCCAGUCUAAGUGGGGCCUAGUGGCCUGCAGGGCCAGAGACACCAUUCGUUCCAAGUAACCCACUGCCCUUCCCCCAAAUUGCUCCAAAUGCAAUUUUUAGUUUUUGCAUUUACCUUUAGCCUGAUUCAUUCAGCCUCAGGUUCCCAGAGGACCCUGACCUAAAAACCUCAAGUGCAGGUACACCCCGGGUACCAGUUAGGUGACCAUUCACACUGCACUUUUGAUGGCCUGCCUGACCCACUACCCCUUAAACCACCUGCCAUCCUGCGCUCUAGUCCGGCUCCAACGUAGCUCUCUGAAGGACUUCUGAUCUUAACUCCCUUUGAAAACCUUCUCAUCUCUUCCUGUAGGGUAUCUCUCCUUUCCCUGGUCUCCUUGGGGUACUGGAGACUGCAGGAAGGUUGUAGAUUAUAGAGCCAGAGGGGGGAGGGAAAGUUGCAUACACCCUAGAAAAAUGGGUCUCUGAGUCAAACUAGAUUAGAAACAAUAGUAAAGGCACUGUGAGUGUUCCAUCUUGCACCUCUCCUAAAUUAAAAUCAGUAGAGGGAUCCCAGAAAAGGCUGGGCCUUAUCCCACCUACAUCCCAGCACUGCCAGAAACUCUCUGGGGGUCCUCUCCCUUUCUGUGGAUCUGUUCCUGGGGAAGUCCAAGGGUCCCUAGGGCCUAUUGGGACGAAAAGGUUUGGGAUUAUUAGGUUCUUUGGAUGUACUUAGUCCAGACCCUGGAGCUAGCAAUACCGCACCACCCCUUACCUAAAACCUCAAACCCCAACUCUGUUUUCUCUCCCCACCAAGCACUUGGGGGGAAAAAAAAACUUUUUGAAGUUCCUUCAAGUUGCAUUUGGGGAAAAGAAUCCCCUGCAGACUCUAGGUCUCUUUGCCCCAAUUUUCACUUUUCUUCCCUCGUCUCAGAAGCAUCCCUACUCUUCCCACCCCUGCCAGCUGCCACCCUAGUGCCCAAACUCAAGAAGGAGAAGAUGUCCUAAGCCCAAAACUUAUGGCUGCCCACCCCCAGCCCAGAUCCCUCGAAGGGCUGAAGACGCGCGGGUCAGAGUUCGCCUGCAAAGAAAGCAGGGUGGAGAAAGGGGAAGAGAGAGAGAACCAGAGCCGCAAAUUUCCAGACUGAAGCUUCGCGCUCCAGGCCCCGCUCACCUGCUCUGGACAGGCUCCAAUAGAUUUUCGUCCACUCAAAAGUUUGUCCCCUUCGCAAAGGAUUUCCAGGAGAGGCCCACAUUUGACUCUGGGGGUGGGGGUGAGGAGCCGGGGAGGGCGCAGACGCCUGAUCUAAAGCGACCGGGGGAAGCGGGACGCGUGUGACCGUCCCCAAAGUAAGGGUGAAGCGGCGAUCCACAGAGCAUCCGAGAGCCCCCUUGGUUGCUAGCCCCGGGACGUUCCCGGGAGGUCCCCAGACUACAGAGUGCUAACGCAGGGGUGGAGAACACCGGGCAGCUGAAAGGAAGGAUAGAAAGGAUUCUGUCGACGUCCGUGGUGUCCUCCAAUUUCUGCCCCGGCGGGUGUGCCCCAGCCCACAACAUUCUCUGGACCCCUUCUGGGCAGCGCUCAGGACCCCCACUUGUCGGAAAGGGAGGAUGAGGGUCCC
ensembl:lincRNA Gm28265 predicted gene 28265